rnacentral:sRNA from 1 species
CCCAGCACUGAAGUGCUGGGCUAUUAUCAAACGUCCCUAACGGGACU